AAAUUACCGAAGAGCUGACAUCAAGCAGAAAAGAAGCAGAGAAAAGGAGUCUCAAUGAGUCACAAAUACAUAGACAAAGACUGCACUGUGCACGAUAUAAAGGGACUCCCUGCCCUACCUGCUUACAAUAUUGUUAAAACUUGGUGAUGCCAAGGAGAUUACGACUUUGAGCCUGAGAACUCCGUCUCAAUCAAUCAACCUGAAAUCGGUUCUUGUCGAGAAAUUGGCUUCCUCUCUGCUCCUGUGUAUUAUCCGCCUUUCCGAUGAAUUGCUACAAAAACCUGUUGCUCUGGUUUCUCCAGAAUUCAGAGAGAUGCUUCUGGGAGGUGCUCCGAGAGCUGCAAGCUCAGCUUCCACAUCAGGGCUGUCGCCCCUGUGCCUAGCAGGCACUCAGCGUGUCCCGUUAAUGAAGAAACAAAUGAAAAGAUCAGUCUGUCGGCACUCAGGAGAGGCGGUCAGGAGCUGGAAGAGUCCACAG
rnacentral:lncRNA from 1 species